AAUAAAACUGAAUACUAUACUCAUAUAAUAGCGGGAAUAUGGCUCGCAAGUUUCUACCGACUAACCGUAAAUAUGUCGACUAUGAGAGACAAAUUUAGACAG
rnacentral:ncRNA from 2 species